UACUCUCACUCUCUCUGGUCCUUUGGACUGGGAGUGGUGGACUUGGGUGUUGCGGCUGCAGUGCUUACUGCUGCGCGGUGGCUCACCUGAAAUGCAGUAGUGCACCUCCUGGUUGGACAUAGUACGGCGUGAUAAGUGUCUUCGCCGGCGCCUCGAAAGAGGGUGGCCGAUUGGGAGCUCUGUGCUUCAUAAACCGUCUUCGGACAAUCUCUGACA
rnacentral:misc_RNA from 1 species